GGCAAAAAAAAGAAACUAAAAUGAAAACAAAAACUAAAUUAGACAAAAAAAGAAGGGAAAAGACAAUGUAAAUAGGAAAGUGAAAGCAAAGCUAAGGAUCUGGAAAAAUCCAGUUUCUCUUUGCGGGAACAUCGAAACUCAAUUCGAGUUCUUCGAUCCUUUAUCUCCUCCUACUCCUUGAGAACCUCAACAAAGCAUAGCUGAGAGUGAUUCGUCUUCAAUGAGUAGAGGUAAACAUGGACACUUCACGACAAGUAGUACCUGAAAGAAACCAAAUUCCUUGCAAGCAACGUGUACUUCCUGGAUUAUCUGAGGCCGAAGAAGAGGGUGUUGCCGAUGGGAUAGAUCUACAAUUGGCAAGGAUGUGUCGCGCAGGGUUCCAUCGGGGCGUAGGGAUGGUGGAAGAAUGUAACGCUUGGGAACAUAAGUUAGUCCCUCUUCAGUAAGUGUCAUGACACUAGUAAAUGAACCAUUUGGUGAAGCUGAGCUCUCUCCCAUUCUUCCCACCAUAUGUUGUGUUAUGUUUAUGACUUUUUAACUCCCUAUUUAUAACCAGAAAAAUAAGAAGAUAUGCUUGGAGCUUUAAGUUAA